CCGGGGGGGCCCCCUCCACUCCCCAGCAGGCACCAGCCCGGGCCCCGCCCGGCUCACCUUGGCCUGGAAGUGGAUCCCGUGCUGGAAGGCGUCUUCGUUGUGCAGGGGGACCCGCGAGUCGCAGCCAUCGUCCACCAGAAAAUUGGUAACAAAGCAGGAACAUUAACCACGUGCUGAACUUGAACUGAGCUUUUCUGCAUAAAAUAAAGAUGGAUGAAUUAGUUCACAGCUGGCUGAAGAUUUUGACCCUGGAUUCCUCUUGUAUGUUCCACAUCAGCUUGCAGGAGACCAGUUUGGUGUUGGUGCUGAUACAAGAGUUGUGACUUUUUUUUUGUAAUUCACAAGUCUCAUGAUAUUUGAUGUUGAUCCUAAAUACCUGGAUUCUGGAGUCCUGUGAUUACAUGAGAAUCUCAGCUUUCAUUUUUUAAAAGAAGCAAGCAAAGGACAUGUCUGACUCCAAGGAGAUGUUGUUAUUCCAGUGCACACAUCUAAUCUCAGCACGAGUCAUUUCAGAGAAAGGGAAAGGAAAUCUACCAUGAAGAUGAAGAGCCUCAGUCACUGCUGCAGAACAUUGUACUGGCUUUGGUUAAUGGAACUGUGCCUGUGAUGAAUCUCGUCAGGCCCAAACUAGAGUGGCUAAUAAGAAAUCACACCACUUUACUCUUCCCAUCUACCUCUCCUAUUCUACAUGGCCCAGCUGUAAAAGCCAGACUGGGCAGGAGGGUUGGGAAAGCGGGAGGUCAGACUAUGCGUCUUCUGGGCUGUAUUAAAUUUUUAAAACGUAUCCUGAAACUAAAGACAGAGAUUUGAUAAUCCUUGUCUAAGGGUGAAUUUUCCUUGGCUGGCCUGGGAUUUUUGUGGAGAGGUCAUCCCUCCCGUCACUGAAAAUGUUUGCUGCAACGGAGAGAGACAAAGACCCCUACACAGUGUAACUUCCACAACAUUUGCUGGGGGGAGGAUGCAUAUGCUUCCUGCUAAUCGUAAAGGGAUUACUUUGCAGGCCUCAGCCCCUGCACACCAUGCCAAACAUUGCCCCCAGUAAGUCCUCCCAUGAAAGCCUUCUGUGACACUGCACCCCAUAUUCUUCAGUCAUAUUGUUAUAAUAUGAUUAUGACAUGGUUAUGAUGUAU